GAUGAAGAACGCAGCGAAAUGCGAUAAGUAGUGUGAAUUGCAGAUUUCAGUGAAUCAUCGAGUCUUUGAACGCACAUUGCGCCCCCUGGUAUUCCGGGGGGCAUGCCUGUCCGAGCGUCAUUGCUGCCCUCAAGCACGGCUUGUGUGUUGGGCCUCCGUCCUCCUCCCGGGGGACGGGCCCGAAAGGCAGCGGCGGCACCGCGUCCGGUCCUCGAGCGUAUGGGGCUUCGUCACCCGCUCUUGUAGGCCCGGCCGGCGCUUGCCGACACAUCAAUCUUUUUUCCAGGUUGACCUCGGAUCAGGUAGGGAUACCCGCUGAACUUAAGCAUAUUAAUAAGCGGAGGA
rnacentral:misc_RNA from 1 species